rnacentral:rRNA from 1 species
GAUGAGGACAUCCCAGGUUCACCUCAUUUAUCAUCUUCUCCUGAUGAUAAAUCUCAGCCAUCAAGUGAAGCUUCUACAAAGAAGAUCUAUUUGGGUCCCAUGACAAGGAGCCGUGCCAAACAAAUAGCACAAGGGGUGAACGCGCUCCUAGCUUAUCAUAAUUCAAAUGACCAUGAGAACUUUAUACUGCCUAAAUCUCGUGUGCUGAUUUUACUUAGGUACAAUGUCGAGGACAACCAACAACAUUCAGCACAUCUAUUGUUGCAUGUGCAGUUCCAGAAUUCGUCCCAGAACUUGCUGAAUCAUGCAACGCAAAUAUAUGAGAAUCCAGGAUGUGUGGGAGUACAAAAUGGAGAGCAUAUGAAGUCUACUUUCAGGAAAAUCAAACGGUGCAUCAUUUGGAGUCCUGAGUGA